AUUGAACGCUGGCGGCAUGCCUUACACAUGCAAGUCGAACGGUAACGGGCCUUCGGGUGCCGACGAGUGGCGAACGGGUGAGUAAUACAUCGGAACGUGCCCGAUCGUGGGGGAUAACGAGGCGAAAGCUUUGCUAAUACCUCAUACGAUCUACGGAUGAAAGCAGGGGACCGCAAGGCCUUGCGCGGACCGAGCGGCCGAUGGCAGAUUAGGUAGUUGGUGGGAUAAAAGCUUACCAAGCCGACGAUCUGUAGCUGGUCUGAGAGGAUGAUCAGCCACACUGGGACUGAGACACGGCCCAGACUCCUACGGGAGGCAGCAGUGGGGAAUUUUGGACAAUGGGCGCAAGCCUGAUCCAGCCAUGCCGCGUGCAGGAUGAAGGCCUUCGGGUUGUAAACUGCUUUUGUACGGAACGAAAAGCCUUCUUUUAAUACAGGAGGGUCAUGACGGUACCGUAAGAAUAAGCACCGGCUAACUACGUG
rnacentral:rRNA from 1 species